AUUGGCUCAUUUAAACACAUACUAGGAGAUGGGCAGGAAGGGUUGAGCCUACCUUACGGGAUGACCUGGCUUCCCUGAGAGCUCAGUUGGCUUUCUCCAUCCAGAAGAUGGCUGUCAGUGGUCCUGACUUACAUCCUUCAAGCUCAUCAAAUCCAAGAAGAAUAGGAUUUUCCUCUCCAGCUCCAAUUUUGAAAUUCUGGUAAAAACUCUGCUAGAUUUGUUUUGUUUUGUUUUUUAUUCCCUACCUUUCUCUUGGACCAGUCACACUAACCAGGGGCAGUGAGGUAGGUUGAUUGGCAGCCCUUACAUGAUUGGCUGAGUUGGACUAGAAAAAGGGCAGUUGAUCCCCCAAAAGGUGAUUGAGAAAAACAGAUGUGGCCUUUGGGAAGAGCUGAGGCCACCACCCUGAUGGGUAUCCACAACAGUGGUGGUACUGUGUUCUCACGUAUCAAUAUAUUCCGUGAUACUGGGGAAACAUACAGGUACAUAGUGCCUUUGCUAAUAACAAAAUCUUGGUCAAUAUUGGCUCAUUUACAGGAAAAGGAGUUUAGUGUCUUGUUUUGUUUUGGGCUGAAAUCCCCAGUGGAUCUUCCCUGCACUUUGCAUGAGCUGUCUGUCCUGUCACAGCUGCUAUGGGUGGGUCGUCGGUCUCAGAGUGUGAAACUGGAGACAAUCCUGGAACCCGUGACUUCUGGUUUUCUUUCUGAGAAAAUCUUCCAAGCCGAGCAGUCUCUCAUCUUUCUCAAGCUCCUAAGGAUGUAUGUCACAGCCCUUCCCCAAAGAUCAUGUGGUGGCACUGGGAUGAAAACUGAAAGGUGAGAUGACUUGUUGAUGGAGAAUUGUCAGUGAGUCAGAGUUCACACAGAGCUCUGGAGUUUCCAGGCCGUUAACUUAUCUUCCUGAACACAUGAGUCAGGGUCAGUCCAGCCCAGGUAGUACCGGUACGUGCUUCGCCUGCCCUGCUCUUCCGGGCCAGCACCCAGCCUUCACGCAUGCACAUGCACAGGUGCCCUUCACCCUCCUUCUCCGUACAUCCUGGGAGGGGUGCGGGCAAGCUUGGCUUAUUCAUCUCUCUUCAGGAGGUGCCCUCAGCCCUCUUAAGAGGGCUGAGCUCAGGCUGGAAACUAACCGCAAGAUCUGAACCAAAAAAAGAGAAAGUAAAUAGUAAUCCGUCCUUUUCAUAAAUGUUGCAACAGCCUAGCUGUAGCUUGGAGCAUGUAUUUCGAGAAUAACCAGAAACAACCAACGUAUUUGUCAAUAGUAGUCAGUUGUAAAACAUUAUGGUAUAUUCAGAGAAUAGAAUACUAUUAAGCCAUUAAAAUUAAUGAAAUAGGGACUUCCCUAGCGACACAGUGGAUAAGAAUCCAUCCACCAGUGCCGGGGACACGGGUUUGAUCCCUGGUCCAGGAGGAUCCCACAUGCCUCCGAGCAACUAAGCCAGUGUUCCACAACAAGAGAAGCCACGGCAAUGAGAAGCCCACAUGCUGUAACUUGAGUAACCCCCACUUGCCACAACUAGAGAAAGCCCGAGAACAGCAAG